AGCAGCCUGAGUCAGCAGAGAUCAUGGAGCAGGAAACUAACUCAGCACCUGCUGUCCAUUUUCCUAAAAUGGAAAGGAAGAGAGGAUAAUUAACCUGAACAGGUAUACAGCAUUUUGCAUCUUUCUUUCUCCUGGGUCAAAACUAGGAUUGAAUAGUUUGGUCUUAGGCGAUGCAAAGGAAUCCAGGGCACCUGAUCUUGGCAUCAUCUUCCCUGUGGCUGUCUCUUCCUGGGCUGGUCUCAGCUUCUUUUCCUUUGAGGAAAGCACCUGCUGCCAUUUGUCUCAGGCCUUGAGGUCAUUGACCUUUCUGUUCCUGACUUUUUCCUUGCUGACCACCUACUGGAAGCAUUAGGAAUUGUGGUAAUUGAUUUGCCCGGGCUUAUGGCAAGCACUGACCCCACUGGGAAGACCCCUGGGUUCCAUUGAACCACACUUUUCUCAGUUCUCAGGCAGCUGGAAGGACAAAUCCAUUCUGCUUAUUUGGGGUGGGAUGAAAUAGUGUCUACUUUACUUUAGUCUUCACCUGUUUCCUCUUCCAAAAGCAAAGCAACAGAAAAAUUCCUACUUUAAAUGCACUACUCAGGUCUGGCAUUGAAGUGCCAUCUUAGGAGAAAAGCUGCCUGUAGCAUUUUGAAAUUUCUAACUUCUAUUUGUGAGUUACUCAUGUGGUUA